rnacentral:rRNA from 1 species
UACGUAGGUGACCAGCGUUGUCCGGAUUUACUGGGCGUAAAGAGCGCGCAGGCGGUCGUUCAAGUCGAGUGUGAAAGCCCCCGGCUCAACUGGGGAGGGUCACUCGAUACUGAUCGACUUGAAGGCAGGAGAGGGUAGCGGAAUUCCCGGUGUAGUGGUGAAAUGCGUAGAUAUCGGGAGGAACACCAGUGGCGAAGGCGGCUUCCUGGCCUGUUCUUGACGCUGAGGCGCGAAAGCUAGGGGAGCAAACGGG